rnacentral:rRNA from 1 species
UACUAUAGCAAGGAGGUCACACCUGUUCCCAUGCCGAACACAGAAGUUAAGCUCCUUAGCGUCGAUGGUAGUCG